rnacentral:rRNA from 1 species
UACCGGCAGUACAAGUGGUGCCCGCGAUUAUUGGGCUUAAAGAGCUCGUAGCUGGCCGGGACCGUCUCAUGUGAAAUAUUGGCGCUCAACGUCAAUGCGCGCAUGGGAUACCUUCCGGCUAGGGAGCGGGUGAGGUCAGGGGUACUUGCGGGGGAGGGGUUAAAUCCUGUAAUCCUGCAAGGACCAACGGUGGCGAAGGCGCCUGACUAGAACGCAUCCGACAGUGAGGAGCGAAGGCUAGGAGAACGAAUCGGAUUAGAUACCCGAGUAGCCCUAGCAGUAAAUGAUGCAGACUCUGGUGUUGCGGGAAUCUUGAAUGCCUGCAGUACCGUAACGAAAGUGUUAAGUCUGCCGCCUGGGGAGUACGGCCGCAAGGUUGAAACUUAAAACAAUUGACGGGGGAGCACACAAGGGGUGGAUGCUGCGGUUUAAUUGAAUCCAACGUCGGAAAUAUUACCAGGAGCGACGGCAGGAUGAAGGUCAGACUGAAGAUCUUACCCGACAAGCCGAGAGGUGGUGCAUGGCGACCGUCAGCUCGUGGUGUGAACUGUUCGGUUAAGUCCGGUAUGCAUUUGAGUGGUACGAUGAAUAAGCAAAGGCUUACGCCAGAUAUAUGCUAUCUGCUUGGCGCGUAUAGCUGCAGCAGCGGAGAGGGCAUCUCGAUGUCAGCUAGAUCAGAGGAUAUGCUAGAGAGGUUCAUAAGCAUCUCCAUGAAGGGGCUUGGCAUAGAGCCAAACAAGAUACUUAUAGAGAGAUCCGCCUCCCGCACUACCGCCACAUUCUACAAUUCAAAGAUUAGGAAGUGGUUCGGGAAGUGCCUUGAGAGAAGGGAGCGGAUAUUCAAGUUCAGGAAUGAUUACUCAGCGAACUAUCUGGCAGGGAUGUUCGACGCUGCUGGUUAUAUAGACGAGAAAGGCAUAAGUAUCGAGGCAUCGCACGGAAAUGCGAUGCUGCUGGAGAGGCUCGGCUUCCAUACAAUCGGAGGGAAGAGGCUGAGGCUUCGCAACCAGGGAUCAUUUGUCAUGUUCGUAGGCGUUAACAGCCUAAGGCUUAGGAGUGCCAUUCAUCUGCCUGGAAACGAGCGAGACCUUCGCUAACAGUUGCCACCGGCAUGGAGGCAUGCCGAGCACUCUGUUGGGACCGCCUCUGUCUAAAGAGGAGGAAGGAGAAGGCGACGAUACGUCAGUAUGCUCUGAAUCACCUGGGCUACACGCGGCAUACAAAGGUCGGCACAAUGGGAUGCAAUGCCGAGAGGCAGAGCAAAUCCCCUAAAACCAAUCCAGGUCCGGAUUGAGGGUUGAAACUCACCCUCAUGAAGCUGAAAUCCCUAGUAAUCGCUUGUCACUAUCGAGCGGUGAAUCUGUCCCUGCUCCU